AUUGAACGCUGGCGGCAUGCUUUACACAUGCAAGUCGAACGGUAACAGGCCUUCGGGUGCUGACGAGUGGCGAACGGGUGCGUAAUGCAUCGGAACGUACCCAGAGGUGGGGGAUAACGCAGCGAAAGCUGUGCUAAUACCGCAUGUGAUCUGAGGAUGAAAGCGGGGGACCGCGCAGCAAUGUUUGGCCUCGCGCCUUUGGAGCGGCCCAUGUCGGAUUAGCUAGUUGGUGGGGUAAAGGCCUACCAAGGCGACGAUCCGUAGCUGGUCUGAGAGGACGACCAGCCACACUGGGACUGAGACACGGCCCAGACUCCUAAGGGAGGCAGCAGUGGGGAAUUUUGGACAAUGGGCGCAAGCCUGAUCCAGCAAUGCCGCGUGAGGGAAGAAGGCCUUCGGGUUGUAAACCGCUUUUGGCAGGAACGAAACGGUGUCCGCUAAUACCGGGCGCUAAUGACGGUACCUGCAGAAUAAGCACCGGCUAACUACGUG
rnacentral:rRNA from 1 species